UCGAGCGGGAUCCAUCCAGUAGCAAUACUGGGUGAAGAUCUAGCGGCGAACGGGUGAGUAACACGUGAGAAACCUGCCCCAGACUCUGGGAUAACACGAGGAAACUCGUGCUAAUACCGGAUACCUUCUUUUGGUCGCAUGGCCAGCUGAAGAAAGAUUUAUCGGUUUGGGAGGGUCUCGCGGCCUAUCAGCUAGUUGGCGGGGUAACGGCCCACCAAGGCAUCGACGGGUAGCUGGUCUGAGAGGACGAUCAGCCACACUGGGACUGAGACACGGCCCAGACUCCUACGGGAGGCAGCAGUGGGGAAUCUUGCGCAAUGGGCGAAAGCCUGACGCAGCAACGCCGCGUGCGGGAUGAAGGCCUUCGGGUUGUAAACCGCUUUCGGCAGGGAAGAAAUUGACGGUACCUGCAGAAGAAGCCCCGGCCAACUACGUGCCAGCAGCCGCGGUAACACGUAGGGGGCGAGCGUUGUCCGGAUUUAUUGGGCGUAAAGAGCUCGUAGGCGGUUCGGUAAGUCGGGUGUGAAACCUCCAGGCUCAACCUGGAGACGCCACCUGAUACUGCUGUGACUAGAGUCCGGUAGGGGAGUGUGGAACUCCUGGUGUAGCGGUGAAAUGCGCA
rnacentral:rRNA from 1 species